GUAGGUGGCAAGCGUUGUCCGGGAAUUAUUGGGGCGUAAAGCGCGCGCAGGCGGUUCUUUAAGUCUGAUGUGAAAGCCCACGGGCUCAACCGUGGAGGGUCAUUGGAAACUGGAGAACUUGAGUACAGAAGAGGAAAGCGGAAUUCCACGUGUAGCGGUGAAAUGCGUGGAGAUGUGGAGGAACACCAGUGGCGAAGGCGGCUUUCUGGUCUGUAACUGACGCUGAGGCGCGAAAGCGUGGGGAGCAAACAGGAUUAGAUACCCUGGUAGUCCACGCCGUAAACGAUGAGUGCUAAGUGUUAGGGGGUUUCCGCCCCUUAGUGCUGCAGCUAACGCAUUAAGCACUCCGCCUGGGGAGUACGGCCGCAAAGGCUGA
rnacentral:rRNA from 1 species